GUGACUGCUGUCAGUCCAUAGAGCUGUGGGAUGACAGUCCACAGGGCUGUCGUCUCCGCCUGUUCAGGCUCUGCUCUCGGACAUUUACACUUGGGUGAAACUUAAGGUGUGCUGGCUCCCAGGAAGGACUUGUGAAAUCUCGAUCUCUAAUUGCAAAUUGCAAGAUUGACAUCACUGGGCCAUAGCUUAUAGGACAAGCAAGAGAGACCACUUUAAUAUAACUAAGACAGGAAUUUACCGCAAGAGGAAGACUCAGCUGCUUCUCCUGAGUUAAACACUGCAUAAUCUGGCCUGGGAAAGACAGGGUGCCAACUUCCUGACCACAGACCAUUUGGAUCUCAUCUCACACUAACAAGAGCGGAGCCGGUCCACCACAUUCGCCAUCCAGAAGUGCGUUUCAUCGCAUCGCGUCUGUAUCUGACCAGAAAAAGAGCUGGCAUGUCACAGCAAGUCAACCGAUACUGUCACCUUGGGGAGUGGAGAUGCUGGAGUUGAUUAACAGAAAGUACUGGAGAUGGGCAACUUAAGCUGUCAGUAAAGGAAGCCUCUUUGGGAUUCUAUGGGCAAUGCUUCUGCGCCUUUUGGAUAACAUCAAGGGGAG
rnacentral:lncRNA from 1 species